UACCAGCUCUUCGAGUGGUGUGGAUGUUUAUUGGGCCUAAAGCAUCCGUAGCUGGCUGGGCAAGUCCCCUGUUAAAUCCACCGAUUUAAUCGUUGGAGUGCGGGGGAUACUGUUCGGCUAGGGGACGGGAGAGGCAGACGGUAUUUUCGGGGUAGGGGUGAAAUCCUAUAAUCCCGGGAAGACCACCAGUGGCGAAGGCUGUCUGCUAGAACGCGCCCGACGGUGAGGGAUGAAAGCUGGGGGAGCGAACCGGAUUAGAUACCCGGGUAGUCCCAGCUGUAAACGAUGCAGGCUAGGUGUUUGGGCGGCCACGUGCCGCUCUAGUGCCGCAGGGAAGCCGUUAAGCCUGCCGCCUGGGGAGUACGGCCGCAAGGCUAGAAACUUAAAGGAAUUGGGCGGGGAGCACCACAAGGGGUGAAGCUUGCGGUUU
rnacentral:rRNA from 1 species